rnacentral:lncRNA from 1 species
AGUUAGAUGAAGCUUUAGAAGGAAAUUACAAGUCGGCACAUCAUCAUGAGAUGUCUGAGUUUGGUGGACUCAAUCCUGCUCUACAUAAGAGACAUAAGUUAUUUUUAUCCUAAUAUUGCUGACCUUCUAAACUUACUAAAGGCAAGAUUUGACCCAAGUCUAUGACCACCUAGCAACUUCACCAAUUUGCUAAGUUGGUAUCUUCCUCUUUUGUAAUCUUUACUAGUCAUAGAAUAUGAACUAACAAAAAGCAUAUAUAAUGCCCAUGCAUGGAUGGAGAGAGAGAGAGAGAGAGAGAGAGAGAGAGAGAGAGAGAGAGAGAGGAUAUGAGAUCUUGUACAUGUUGUUUUCAUGCUGCUACAUUUAGUAUGUGGUGUGUGUGUUUUGGAAGAGGCAUUGCUCUGAUAUCACAGGGCAAACUCCUUAUGAUUCCUAGGGUAGGGCUUUCAAAGCUAACCAAUAUGGUGGCCACUAUUUUCGAGUAGAGAAAGUCUUUGUGCAUCAUAUACGGUAUAAUAAAAAUAAUAUAGAGCAUAUCAUCUAAUCAUAUUGGAGCACGUAGCCAUCGCUUUCCAAAUUUCAACGCAUAUUUAAUCCCCACAGUUUUGAUUUUUCGUUUAAAAUUUUGAAUUACAAAAAUAUCCCUUCUAUUUUGAAAAAAUUAUAAUAUCAUGUGAUUAUAUUAUGAUAUCUCACGAUCAAAUUAUGACUUUCUGCACACAUAAAGUCAUAAUUUUUUUCAUAAGUCAUAAAAAGGAAAAGCUAUUUUCAUUAUUAAAAAAUUAUAAAAUUUUUAAAUAAUAAAAAUAUUUUUUUCAUCGACAUCCGAUCAUAAUUUGACUGAACGAUGAUAUAAUAUAGCCAC